UACGUAGGGUGCAAGCGUUGUCCGGAAUUAUUGGGCGUAAAGAGCUCGUAGGCGGUCUGUCGCGUCUGCUGUGAAAACUCAGGGCUUAACCCUGAGCUUGCAGUGGGUACGGGCAGACUAGAGUGCGGUAGGGGAGACUGGAAUUCCUGGUGUAGCGGUGAAAUGCGCAGAUAUCAGGAGGAACACCGGUGGCGAAGGCGGGUCUCUGGGCCGUAACUGACGCUGAGGAGCGAAAGCUAGGGGAGCGAACGGG
rnacentral:rRNA from 1 species